GACGAACGCUGGCGGCGUGCUUAACACAUGCAAGUCGAACGGAAAGGCCCUGCUUUUGUGGGGUGCUCGAGUGGCGAACGGGUGAGUAACACGUGAGUAACCUGCCCUUGACUUUGGGAUAACUUCAGGAAACUGGGGCUAAUACCGGAUAGGAGCUCCUGCUGCAUGGUGGGGGUUGGAAAGUUUCGGCGGUUGGGGAUGGACUCGCGGCUUAUCAGCUUGUUGGUGGGGUAGUGGCUUACCAAGGCUUUGACGGGUAGCCGGCCUGAGAGGGUGACCGGCCACAUUGGGACUGAGAGACGGCCCAGACUCCUACGGGAGGCAGCAGUGGGGAAUAUUGCACAAUGGGCGGAAGCCUGAUGCAGCAACGCCGCGUGCGGGAUGACGGCCUGCGGGUUGUAAACCGCUUUCGCCUGUGACGAAGCGUGAGUGACGGUAAUGGGUAAAGAAGCACCGGCUAACUACGUG
rnacentral:rRNA from 1 species